UACGUAGGGGGCGAGCGUUGUCCGGAAUUACUGGGCGUAAAGGGUUCGUAGGUGGCCUGCUAAGUCACACGUGAAAUCCCUCAGCUUAACUGGGGAACUGCGUGUGAUACUGGCGAGCUUGAGUGCAGGAGAGGAACGCGGAAUUCCAGGUGUAGCGGUGAAAUGCGUAGAUAUCUGGAGGAACACCGGUGGCGAAGGCGGCGUUCUGGACUGCAACUGACACUGAUGAACGAAAGCCAGGGGAGCAAACGGG
rnacentral:rRNA from 1 species